rnacentral:misc_RNA from 1 species
GAAACGCGAUAGGUAAUGUGAAUUGCAGAAUUCCGUGAAUCAUCGAAUCUUUGAACGCACAUUGCGCCUUCUGGUAUUCCGGUAGGCAUGCCUGUCUGAGCGUCAGCAAAACACCCUCAGCCUGAGUUAUUUUCGUACUCAAUGCUGGUCUUGGGUAGUGGAUGCCGGUGGGGUUAUUUCUUCCCCCCCUGCGCCCUCCCUAAACUUGCUGCACGACCGCAAGCCCCUUCUAGCCAGGUCAAUGGAGUGGUGUUACAAUCUUCCAAAAAGCCUGCUGGUAAAACUGCUUUGCGGCGUUAAACCUUAACGUCUCUCCCACCGGGGAGACAUGAAGUUUUGACCUCAGAUCAGACAAGGAUACCCGCUGAACUUAA